AAAAAUGAAACGGUAAAUGUU
rnacentral:piRNA from 1 species